UACUGAAAUUUGUUUUCGUUGGGCUUGA
rnacentral:sRNA from 1 species